GAGUUUGAUCAUGGCUCAGAACGUACGCUGGCGGCACGCCUAACACAUGCAAGUCGAACGCAGUAGCAAUACUGAGUGGCAAACGGGUGAGUAUAAUGUGGGAAUCUGCCUUUUGGUUUGGAAUAACACGGGGAAACUUGUGCUAAUACCGGAUAAGCCCUUACGGGGAAAGUUUUAACGCCGAAAGAUGAGCCUGCACUUGAUUAGCUAGUUGGUAAGGUAAAAGCUUACCAAGGCAACGAUCAAUAGCUGUUCUUAGAGGAAGACCAGCCACAUUGGGACUGAGACACGGCCCAGACUCCUACGGGAGGCAGCAGUGGGGAAUCUUGCACAAUGGGGGAAACCCUGAUGCAGCGAUGCCGCGUGAGUGAAGAAGGCCCUUGGGUUGUAAAACUCUUUCGUCGGGGAAGAAAAUGACUGUACCCGGAUAAGAAGGUCCGGCUAACUUCGUGCCAGCAGCCGCGGUAAUACGAAGGGACCUAGCGUAGUUCGGAAUUACUGGGCUUAAAGAGCUCGUAGGUGGUUGAAAAAGUUGAUGGUGAAAUCCCAAGGCUUAACCUUGGAACUGCCAUCAAAACUUUUUAGCUAGAGUGUGAUAGAGGUAAGUGGAAUUUCUAGUGUAGAGGUGAAAUUCGUAGAUAUUAGAAAGAACACCAAAUGCGAAAGGCAACUUACUGGGUCACUACUGACACUGAGGAGCGAAAGCAUGGGUAGCGAAGAGGAUUAGAUACCCUC
rnacentral:rRNA from 1 species